GUGCAGUAAAGGCAGAAAGGAUAGUUGCAGAGUAGGGAAUAGAUGUGAGUUAUAGAUUAGGACUGAUGGGAAGAUUGUUUACCAUAAUUAGAGGCAAGGGGGCAUAAAGAACGAGGAAGUUACUCUUUGAAAAUAGAGAACAAAGAACAAGGAAGCUGAACAAGCUGACUCUUCUUUGAAGAGGAACCCACCGUACCCAACACCAGAAAGACUAUAACCUUGGACCAGAGAGAGAAGCAUCCCUGCUGAUGAGAAAGAACAGACACUCCCAGAGGACAAGGUCCACCUGUCAGGCAGCCACAGCCCAGCAUACUCUGGAGUCUGAGGUGGGGGUCAGUUGUGAAGAAAGGGAAGAAGGAAGAAAAAGGAUACGUUGUGCUCCGACCACAGGCCAAGGUCAGAAGACGGUAUUUACCAAGUCUCUUCCCAAAAUACUUGCAAAUGCACAUAAUCUCAAAGUGUUUUUGAGGGCUCUUCCGAUCUAAAAUUGGUCCUAGUGACAAGGGGUGUUUGGGGAAAUCAAAGGGCUGGCUUAACUAUGUAGACCUAGGUCUGGUCUUAUUUCUGGCCCAUACGAUCAUCAUGACCUUGGACAAAUGAAACUUCCUGGGCCUCAAGUUCCUUGUAUCAGAAAGGAUGGCAUUCAGCUGCGUACAACAGAAAACCAAAUCACAGUGGCUUAUCCAAGAAAAGUUCAAUUUUUCUCAAAACUACAGCGUCCUGGGCUGAUGCGGCAGCCCCAGGACGACCUCAGCAUCUCACUCCUCCUUUCUUUACUCGGCCCCAUCCUCAGGCUGUGACUUUCAUCCUCAGGUUUGUCAUCUUUUGGUGGUAAGAUGGUUGCUCUACCUCAAGCUCACAAAAAGAAAUGGGGGAAAGCAGGAAAGAAGAAAAUCUGCUUCCCCAGAGACUCUGAGGCUGCACUUGCACAUCUUAUGGAUCCAAACUGUGUCCCAUGGCUGCCCCUAGAUGCAAGGGGCCUGGGGAAAUGAGCGGAUUCAUCAGGUACACUGCAACCGUACAUGAAAGGAAAGUUCUGUCAAUAAAGAAGAGCGAAAUCUACAUUUGGUCAGGAAACAGCAUUGCCUGCAAUAUGCCUCAUAUGAAAUAAAGCCUUUCUUGCCCCCA
rnacentral:lncRNA from 1 species